UCGGCGCUCACCUUGAAUGAUCCCUGGAACUCGUCGCUCAUCCUCCGGAGCUCGCGGCCAUAGCGCUGCGCAGCGUAGAGGUUGGGGGGCGCCGAGCGCGAGCGGCCCCGGAAGGGACUGGGUUCCUCCUCCUCCUCUUCAUUCUCCUCGGUCCCUGCGGGGUACGAGCUGUGGCGACUCCGCGUCUCCACAGCCCCAGCGCCUGCGGAGAGGGUCAGGAGCAGAGUACCAAUCCCUGGAUGAGGAGGUGUCCUGCCCAGACUGAACUCCACCUCUGCAAGCAACCUGUUGGGGCCCCUUUGUUUCCCUGUGGUCUAUAGGGAGCCUUGGGCCUCUGGAGAACAAGAAUAUGUCAGCAGAAUGUCUGUACCUCCUGCAGCAUCUCACUUCGGAGAAAAUGAAACAACCUGUUGACUUCUUUAAGUCAACGGGGAACACUUCCUAUGUGCCAGGCCUUGGGCAUCACCUCAUUGCCCUCCUAACCAUCCUGAAAAAUGAGGAAAUGGAGGCACCAAGGGGUUAGGAACUUAUCAAAACUCACACGGCUGACACACUCUGCUUGGCCACGUAAGUGCUCAGGAAACGUUAGCUAGUAUUUUCCUUUUCUAGCUCUAAGAACCCCACACAACCCCUGCACUUAACAGAUGCGGGGUCCAAGAGCUGGAAGGUGAGUGACUUGCGCAGGGGCACUUGGUCUGUGUACUGCCUCCUGCCCAAGAAUCAGAACAAGCAGAAGGGCACUCCUGUGUCAGGCUGGAAGGGCUUCAUGUGUAUGAUUCAUUACACCCUCAUCAUACACUAUGAGGGAGCUUCCUCACUGUCCCAUUUUACACGAGAAAACUAAGGCACCGGUAGGGUAAGUAACAUGCCCAAAGUCACACAGCUAGUCGGUGGCAGAGCUGAGAUCCAAACCCAACCGAUCUGGCUCCCCGUCUGUGUACUUCACUCUCAUGCCCCAGGCUCCCUCCAGCAGCACCAUGGGCCGCCUUCGGGGCCCAGGUUGGAGUAGGCAUCCCUGGGCCUCCUGUGAAUGCCUGCCUUACCAGGGGCCUAUCCUAUGGCAGCAGUGGGGAGGAUUUUCACCGAAGCCAAGGAUUUGACAAUCAUUUGUGUAAACUGAGCCUUUGAAAGUGUUCUACUUCCUGGAAAAAACCUGAGGGAUUUUCUGUGGACUCCCCAGGGAUAGCAGACACACCCACACUGAAGCAUUCCACCCUCAAUCAGCUCUCACCCCUACAUGCCCGACAGCAGGGUAGAGGUGGCUUCUCCCCACUCUGGGGAGGUAAGGGGGAGAGAGAAGGUAUGGCUCCAGCCGGGGUGUGAGCCUGGGCUGAAGUCCAGGCUUGCCCACUCUGUCCUCCCAGAGAGGGCCUGCGGAUAGGGUGGACAGGCAGGAGGGGCCUGUGGCUGGAGGUGCCCCGAGCUCCUGCAAAGCUUUAAGUUCUGUAAAAUUCUGGGGCUUCUGGGUAAGUGGGUGGAGCUGGGCACACCCAUGUUCUGUGAAUAUCGUUGCACAUUGAAUUAAAAUGGUGUUCCAGAUAAUUCGGAGCAGCAAAGCUUUGCCAGCAGGCAGGGCUGGGUUUGUAUCCUGCUCUACCACAUGCAGGUGUUCACACACUGUCUACACCAGCAGCAGAGCAGCAGGGCAACAGGAUGGCACCCCACCCUGAACAGGCACAGGCCUGUCAGCUUCCAGCACCCCAGGCCUCAGGCUGGGCUCCCUGUGUACACGAAAGGCAUUUGUGAUACAAAAGCCCCUCAUUGGACUGCAGAGGGCGGCCCCUCCCAUCUUGUUCAGAGCUGACAAAAUCUGAAAACACCCUAAAGCAGGGGCUGGCAAAUAUUUUCCAUAAAGGACCAGAAAGUAAAUAUUUUGACCAUCACAGGCCAUAGAGUCUCUGUCACUACUCAACUUUGUGGUCAAAGCUUGAAAGAAACCAUUACAAUAUAUAAUCAACUGUGUGUUGCUGUAUUCCACUAAAAUUUUAUUUAGGGAUAUUGAAAUUUGAAUUCUGUAUAAUUUUCACAUGUUACCAAAGAUUGUUCUUUCGGAUUUUUGUCAGCUCCUUAAAAUUCUAAGCUCAUAGGCUGACAAAAAAAGAGGGAUUUAGCCUCUGGCUGUGGCUUGCCAACCCCUGCUCUAAACCUAACCACAUCAGUCCUCCGCCUAAAGCCUUCAAUGGCUCCCCACUGCCUAUGAGAUAAAGUCCAAACUCCUUGGCAUGCCCUUCAAGGCCCCUACGUUCUGGUUCUAACCUCUCCUUCACUUGUCUGCUCCUGGGAUGGGGUGCGGCACUCGUUAUUGAUUUCUCUUCCCCUCUAAAUGCUCAGGACUUGGACCGACUCAUAGAAACAAUAGUAACAACAGUGCAGCAAUAGAACAGCAGACUCCUCCAUGCCAGGGACUGUUUCUCAGCACCUUUCCUGUAUUAACUCAUCAGAUCCACACAACAACCCUAAAAGACCCUCAAGCCCCCCACCCCUCACUGGGCUGAGACAAAUGCAGCUGUGGUUGACUCCACCCCCUGCCAGCACCUACCGCGGCACCUGAGCAGCCAGUGUGCUUGCAGAAAAGUGCAGCCAUGCCACCUCAUUUAAAAUUCACAGCCACAAACCUCAGUGGCUCCUUUGAUGUUGCCUGGCACACCUCCCUUGCUCCGGGCCCUGGGUUGGAUGACCACUUCACACCUGCUCCUCUGUCCCUCGGUCCUGGCUCAUGACCUGGCUUCUUUUCCCUGAGAAAUUUGAAGCACCAACAAGGGAAGUUUCUAAAGUUCCUGUGGGGUAACUACCCCUUUCUGUCCCUCAUGUCCACUGCCCUGCCCUUAGCUGAGCUGUCCCUCCAAUGGGCACCAGACCCCUUCUCUCCUACCAAGGGACACUUCAGCAAGUGCCCCUCUCCUGCACCAUUGUCUUUUCCCUCCCUCCUGGAUUAUUUCCACCAUGUGAUUUUAAACAUGUGAUUUUGUUUUCCCUUUUUAUCUUAAAAAAAUAAAAACAACCCUUCUGUGACUCUCCUUGCACCUUCAGCUGCCCGCCUUUACCAGCUCUGCUCCUCUUUACCAGAGCACAAGAGUUAGGCAGAGCUAGGUUCUGCCCGUGAGAAUGAGCGUUGGUGGGGGUGGGGAAGGGAGGGCAAGGAUAGGAGGCUGAGAGGUGGGAAGGGGCACUUGGGUCCUGUGAAUGAGUGAGGACAGGAGUGGUGACAGAGAGAGGGGCCAGAGGGACCUCCUGCACAAACUAGGGGUACAACCUGACUCUCGUGUCUCCAACUCUCUUCCCAAUAUCCCUCCCCACGGAGGUCAGCCGCCCACCAAAAGUGUGAUAGCCCCAUCCUGUCAACUCCAGCGCUCCCCGCUCAGCCGCUGCCCGCAGCUCAGCACUCCCCUCCUUAGGGGGAAGGGCUCCUUCCCGGUCCACAGUGCUGGGUGCCCCUCCUCUGCUGCCCUCAGAAGGGUGCAGUCCCUGGCUCACCCCAGGUCCUCUCCCCUCACACUGGCUCCCUGGGCCUUAACAUAUUAAUGACUGAGGACUCCCGCAUGUGUAAAUCCCGCCAGGAUCUAUCCCUACAAGAAAGUUCCACCGGGAUGUCUAAAAGUCACCUCUAACUUGACUUGCCCCCAGCUGGGCUCCUGAUCUUGCCCCAUCCAUCUCCAUUCCAUCAGACUUGAGAGUAACUCCAUCCUCCUACUUGAGGUGCCCAUGCCAGAUUCCUUGCAGCCAUCCUGACUCCUGUCUUUCCCUCCCACUCCACAUUGAGCUCAUUAGCAAAUCCUGCCAAGAUUAUCUUCAAAAUAAGUCCAGAGUCCAUCUGCUUAGCAUUUCCACUGCCAACACGGUGGCACAAGCCUCCACCCUCCUUGCGGGCACUCUUGCCACAGCCCGCUCGCUCGCCCUGCCCCUACUUCUGACCACCGCAGACUAGUCUCCACACAGAGGCUCCGGUGCUGCUCUUGAUGCCUGAAGCAAAUCACCUGCCUGCCUGUGUUCAAAACUCUGCCUUGUUUUCACUCAAGGAGAAAGCCAAUGUCCUUACCCGGCCUUCAAGGCCCUACCCAGCUGCCACUUCCCUCUAUUAUCUCCUCCCUGCCUCCAGCAUCCCUCCCCUACCUGGCUUGGACCAAGUCCUGCCCUCAGGGCCUUUGCAUUUGCCUUUCCCUAGGCCAGGAGGUUUCUUCCCAGGGAUGUUUGUAAGGCUCCUGCAUCAUCACUUCCAGCCAUCUGUCCCAAAUGUCACUGCUUACCAAGGCUGACCCUGACCACCUCAAUUAAAAGCACUCCCCCAGCUCCCAGUAUUCCAGUAUUCUGGAUUCCAAAGAGAAAGUAAAGACUAUUUCUCACACCAUUGCCCAGCACGUGUCAUUUCUAACUCAUUAUAUUCUUUACUUCUUUGCUUGUUUAUGGCUUGUCUCUCUCCACCCCGCUGGAAUAUAGGCACCACAAGGGCAAGUGCUUUGAUCUCUUUAGUUCACUGUGGUACCCUUGGCAGCUGGAACAGCAUGAGGCACACAUUAAGCACUUGAUACAGAGGGUGGGGAGGAGCAGCCACGUUGGGGGUGGAAAGCGACAGGGAGCAGGAAAAGAGCAAAUGCAAAGAUCUGGAGUUAAAAAAGUUAAAGAAAGUCUGUGGAGUUUUUAGUCUCAAAGGGUGUGAGCGGGUUGGGAAGGAAACCUUAAUAAACCUCGGGCCUGAAAAUGGGAGGGGAUAAUUUAGGCUUCAGCAGGUUAGAGCAUGGUUUUUAUUUUCAGAAGAUCUCUGGGGUUGUUCCAGGCAGCAAGGCCAUGCUGGCCUAUGGAAAGGUGGGGAUUACUGAGAAAUGGCCACUGCUGUCCGGUGCCCAUCCUUCCAUCUCAGUGCUGGCCUUCCUGGUGGCUGUGCUCCCCCGGUUAACAGCCCCGCUGCCUGGGAUGGCUGUCAGCUUCUUGAGUGUCACUGGUCCCUGGCAACUGGCAAGGAUAGC